AUUGAACGCUGGCGGCAGGCCUAACACAUGCAGGUCGAACGGUAACAGGAAGCAGCUUGCUGCUUCGCUGACGAGUGGCGGACGGGUGAGUAAUGUCUGGGAAACUGCCUGAUGGAGGGGGAUAACUACUGGAAACGGUAGCUAAUACCGCAUAACGUCGCAAGACCAAAGAGGGGGACCUUAGGGCCUCUUGCCAUCGGAUGUGCCCAGAUGGGAUUAGCUAGUAGGUGGGGUAACGGCUCACCUAGGCGACGAUCCCUAGCUGGUCUGAGAGGAUGACCAGCCACACUGGAACUGAGACACGGUCCAGACUCCUACGGGAGGCAGCAGUGGGGAAUAUUGCACAAUGGGCGCAAGCCUGAUGCAGCCAUGCCGCGUGUAUGAAGAAGGCCUUCGGGUUGUAAAGUACUUUCAGCGGGGAGGAAGGGAGUAAAGUUAAUACCUUUGCUCAUUGACGUUACCCGAAGAAGAAGCACCGGCUAACUCCGUG
rnacentral:rRNA from 1 species